GAUGAAGAACGCAGCGAAAUGCGAUAAGUAAUGUGAAUUGGAAUUCAGUGAAUCAUCGAAUCUUUGAACGCACAUUGCGCCCGCCAGUAUUCUGGCGGGCAUGCCUGUGCGAGCGUCAUUUCAACCAUCAAGCCCCCGGCUUGUGUUGGGGACCUGCGGCUGCCGCAGGCCCUGAAAACCAGUGGCGGGCUCGCUAGUCACUCCGAGCGUAGUAAUACAUCUCGCUCAGGGCGUGCUGCGGGUUCCGGCCGUUAAAAAGCCUUAUUUACCCAAGGUUGACCUCGGAUCAGGUAGGAAGACCCGCUGAACUUAAGCAUAUCAAUAAGCGGAGGA
rnacentral:misc_RNA from 1 species